AUUGAACGCUGGCGGCAGGCCUAACACAUGCAAGUCGAACGAGUGGCGGACGGGUGAGUAAUGUCUGGGCAACUGCCCGAUGGAGGGGGAUAACUAGUGGAAACGGUAGCUAAUACCGCAUACCAUCGGAUGUGCCCUGGUGGGAUUAGCUAGUAGGGGGGGUAAUGGCUCACCGAGGCGACGAUCCAUAGCUGGGCUGAGAGGAUGACCAGCCACACUGGAACUGAGACACGGUCCAGACUCCUACGGGAGGCAGCAGUGGGGAAUAUUGGACAAUGGGCGCAAGCCUGAUGCAGCCAUGCCGCGUGUAUGAAGAAGGCUUUCGGGUUGUAAAGUACUUUCAGCGAGGAGGCGUUACUCGCAGAAGAAGCACCGGCUAACUCCGUGCCAGCCGCCGCGGUAAUAC
rnacentral:rRNA from 1 species